UUUAACUGAGCGUUCAGUUACUUGACGUAGACCCGAAACCGGGCGACCUACCCAUGAGCAGGAUGAAGCGAAAGUAAAAUUUCGUGGAGGUCCGAACCCACGAGCGUUGAAAAGCUCGGGGAUGACUUGUGGGUAGCGGUGAAAUUCCAAUCGAGCCCGGAGAUAGCUGGUUCUCCCCGAAAUAGCUUUAGGGCUAGCCUCAAGGUGAGAGAUACGGAGGUAGAGCACUGAAUGUCCUAGGGGGUAUUGCACCUACCGAAGACUAUCAAACUCCGAAUGCCGUCAUCUUAUACUUGGGAGUCAGACUGUGGGUGAUAAGAUUCAUAGUCGAAAGGGCAACAGCCCAGAUCGUCAGCUAAGGUCCCUAAAUGUAAGUUAAGUGGUAAAGGAUGUGGGAUUGCACAGACAACCAGGAUGUUGGCUUAGAAGCAGCCACUCAUUCAAAGAGUGCGUAAUAGCUCACUGGUCGAGUGAUCCUGCGCCGAAGAUUUCCGGGGCUAAAACUUACUACCGAAGCUACGGCAUCAGUAAUGAUGGGUAGGGGAGCUUCCCAUACGGGUUGAAGCAUGACCGUAAGGACAUGUGGACAGUAUGGGAGUGAGAAUGUUGGCAUGAGUAGCGAGAUGUGGGUGAGAAUCCCACAGGCCGUAAACCCAAGGUUUCCAGGGGAAGGUUCGUCCGCCCUGGGUUAGUCGGGACCUAAGCUGAGGCCGAAAGGCGUAGGUGAUGGACAACAGGUUGAUAUUCCUGUACUACCGAUAACCGUUUGAGAGAAGGGAUGACACAGUAGGAUAAGCUAAGCACACUGUUGGUUAUGUGUGCCCAAGCAUUGAGGCAGUCAAAGUAGGCAAAUCCGCUUUGAUAAUGCUGGGAUGUGAUGGGGAGCGAAAUUUAGUAGCGAAGUAGCUGAUUUCACACUGUCAAGAAAAGUCUCUAUCGAGGUUAAAGGUACCCGUACCGCAAACCGACACAGGUGGGUGAGGAGAGUAUCCUAAGGCCAGCGAGAGAACUGUUGUUAAGGAACUCGGCAAAAUGACCCCGUAACUUAGGGAUAAGGGGUGCCACCAUCAGGUGGCCGCAGAGAAUAGGCCCAAGCGACUGUUUACCAAAAACAUAGGUUUCUGCUAAGUCGCAAGACGAUGUAUAGGAGCUGACGCCUGCCCGGUGCUGGAAGGUUAAGGGGAUCUGUUAGAGCAAUCGAAGCAGUGAACUUAAGCCCCAGUAAACGGCGGCCGUAACUAUAACGGUCCUAAGGUAGCGAAAUUCCUUGUCGGGUAAGUUCCGACCCGCACGAAAGGCGUAACGAUUUGGGCACUGUCUCAACAACAGACUCGGUGAAAUUGUAAUUCCGGUGAAGAUGCCGGAUACCUGCGACAGGACGGAAAGACCCCAUGGAGCUUUACUGUAGCUUGACAUUGGGUCUUGGUACUACAUGUACAGGAUAGGUGGGAGGCUUUGAAACCAGGACGCCAGUUUUGGCGGAGCCAUCCUUGGGAUACCACCCUUGUAGUACUGGGACUCUAACCAUAGGCCAUGAAUCUGGUCUUGGGACACUGUCAGG
rnacentral:rRNA from 1 species